rnacentral:tmRNA from 1 species
GGGGGCGAAUAUGGUUUCGACAUGAAUGUCAAAAUCUAAGGUGCAUGCCGAGGAAGUACCGUAACCUCGUUAAUAACAGUACAAAUGCCAAUAAUAACUGGCAACAAAAAAGCAAACCGCGUAGCGGCUAACGACAGCAACUUUGCUGCUGUUGCUAAAGCUGCCUAGUCUAGCUUAAUAACCUAGAUGCGCACGGAUAUGAUAGUCUUUCUUAUGACACUAUCUAUACAUCCGUUCAUAUUCCGCAUAAGACGGUCUUUGCUUUUUGUCUGGGAGUUAAGGCUGUAUUUUUAACAGACUCGCUAACUAUUACCCUGGCUAAUUGGGGAAUAGCUAAGCUAAACUCAAAUAGAUUAGCCUAAGCAUGUAGAUCCAAAGAUCUAGAGUUUAUGGACGCGGGUUCAAAUCCCGCCGCCUCCACCA